rnacentral:rRNA from 1 species
GACGAACGCUGGCGGCGUGCUUAACACAUGCAAGUCGAACGGAAAGGCCCUGCUUUUGUGGGGUGCUCGAGUGGCGAACGGGUGAGUAACACGUGAGUAACCUGCCCUUGACUUUGGGAUAACUUCAGGAAACAGGGGCUAAUACCGGAUAGGAGCUCCUGCUGCAUGGGGGGGGUUGGAAAGUUUCGGCGGUUGGGGAUGGACUCGCGGCUUAUCAGCUUGUUGGUGGGGUAGUGGCUUACCAAGGCUUUGACGGGUAGCCGGCCUGAGAGGGUGACCGGCCACAUUGGGCCUGAGAUACGGCCCAGACUCCUACGGGAGGCAGAAGUGGGGAAUUUUCCACACUGGGCGGAAGCCUGAUGCAGCAACGCCGCGUGCGGGAUGACGGCCUUCGGGUUGUAACCCGCUUUCGCCUGUGACGAAGCGUGAGUGACGGUAAUGGGUAAAGAAGCACCGGCUAACUACGUG